GCCCGCCUAGCUCAAUCGGAUAGAGCGUCAGACUCUUACACACAGGCGAGGCAUCUGAAGGCUGCGAGUUCGACCCUCGCGGUGGGCU